AGCGGUCGGAGCUGCAUUUAUGUGGUGACGGCGUGCCUUUUGCAUAAUGAGCCUACGAGUUGCCGUUGCUGGCGAGGUUAAGCCCUUAAGGGGCGGAGCCGGAGCGAAAGCGAGUCUGAAUAGGGCGCUAUAGUCAGUAGUGGCAGACGCGAAACCGUGUGAUCUACCCAUGGGCAGGUUGAAGCUGUGGUAACACAUAGUGGAGGACCGAACCCGUUGACGUUGAAAAGUCUUGGGAUGACCUGUGGGUAGGGGUGAAAGGCCAAUCAAACUCGGAAAUAGCUCGUACUCCCCGAAAUGCAUUUAGGUGCAGCGUUCAAAUAUAGUUUUAUAGAGGUAGAGCUACUGAUUGGAUGCGGGGGCUUCACCGCCUACCAAUUCCUGACAAACUCCGAAUGCUAUAAAAUGUUUAUCAGCAGUGAGGGCAUGGGUGCUAAGGUCCAUGUCCGAGAGGGAAAGAACCCAGACCAUCAGCUAAGGUCCCCAAAUGUAUGCUAAGUUGAAUAAACGCGGUUGGACUGCUUAGACAGCUAGGAUGUUGGCUUGGAAGCAGCCAUUCAUUUAAAGAGUGCGUAACAGCUCACUAGUCGAGCGACUGGGCAUGGAUAAUAAUCGGGCAUAAGUAUACCACCGAAGCUGUGGCAUUGAAUUUUAUUCAAUGGGUAGGGGAGCAUUCCAGCAGGCGCAGAAGUUGUAUCGUGAGGUAUGGUGGAGCUACUGGAAAAGCAAAUGUAGGCAUAAGUAACGAUAAAGGAGGUGAGAAACCUCCUCGCCGAUAGACUAAGGUUUCCUGAUCAACGCUAAUCGGAUCAGGGUAAGUCGGGACCUAAGGCGAACCCGAAAGGGGCAGCCGAUGGAUAGCGGGUUAAUAUUCCCGCGCCCGUAAUGCGACAAAAGUGACGGGGUGUUGUAGGUGCUAGGUACUGACGGAAUAGUACGUUGAGCCUAGCCUUCGGGCGAAGCGAAGCAUUGAAAGCGCUUCCAAGAAAAGCGAGCAUUACGGCCCGUACCGCAAACCGACACAGGUAGUCAAGGAGAGAAUCCUGAGGCGCUCGAGUGAUUCGUGGCUAAGGAACUAGGCAAAAUGACCCCGUAACUUCGGGAGAAGGGGAGCCAUGCUUCGGCGUGGCCGCAGAGAAAUGAUCCAGGCGACUGUUUAUCAAAAACACAGGGCUCUGCAAAACCGAAAGGUGACGUAUAGGGCCUGACACCUGCCCGGUGCUGGAAGGUUAAGGGGGGAGCUUAUCUUCGGAGAAGGCUUGAACCGAAGCCCCAGUAAACGGCGGCCGUAACUAUAACGGUCCUAAGGUAGCGAAAUUCC
rnacentral:rRNA from 2 species